GUCGUUGUAGUAUAGUGGUGAGUAUUUCCGCCUGUCACGCGGAUGACCCGGGCUCAAUCCCCGGCAACGGCG
rnacentral:tRNA from 1 species